rnacentral:misc_RNA from 1 species
AACGCACGAGACCUGCGGACCUGCGGAAGGAUCAUUAACGAGUUAGGGUCCUCCGGGGCCCGACCUCCCACCCUUUGUUGUCGCGAAUUCGUUGCCUCGGCGGGACGGCCGCCCCGGGUCCAAACCACCCGGGCUGGCCACCGGGGACCCCCCUCGCGGGGAUCCCGGCCAGCGCCCGCCGCGGGACCACACACAACUCUUGUCUUUGACCGUACAGUCCGAGCAAAUUUGAAUUAAUAA